rnacentral:rRNA from 1 species
AUGGCUGAACCAACUGGUCUUGCCGAGGCUUUGGAGAAGCUCGCUAAGAUCCUCGCGGAGUCAAACUCUGGGGCCAUCGUUCCUCGACAGGAAGUGGCUCACAAGCUUGAAAUGUCGCCCCUGGACAUGAAGCUAGAGGGGGCAACAAAUUAUUUGAGCUGGUCCAGGAGGGCUUUGUGGGCUGUGGAGCAGAAGGAGCUUGAUGGAUAUUUGUUGGGCACCGUCGUAGAACCAAGGGACAAGAGUAGUGCAGAGGGCAAGAGGUGGAAGGUCAUCCACUCUGUACUUAUGGUGUGGUUGUUGAACUCCGUGGUGCCCUCCAUUCGACGCUCUGUGGAGUGGCUAUCCUCACCUGCUGAGAUAUGGAAGAUUCUGUCCACUCAAUACUCUGGCAAGGGCAAUGUCAUGCUCAUUGCUCAGAUUGAGGACAAGAUUAGGUUGCUGCGCCAAGAUGAUGGCAUGUCAGUGAUGACAUACGUGGCAAAACUGCAGGCUCUGUGGGCUGACCAGGAUAACUGCGAUCCCCUGGAACUCUAUGAUGCGGCUUCAAUUGAGUCAGGGCAUAAGUGGAUGGCACGCAGGCGUGUGCUAAAUUUUUUGACUGGCCUCAAAGGUUGCUUUGAUGGCACGAAGGCUUCCAUGUUGCACUAA